UACAGAGGGUGCAAGCGUUAACCGGAAUUACUGGGCGUAAAGCGUGCGUAGUCGGCUUUUUAAGUCGGGUGUGAAAUCCCCGGGCUCAACCUGGGAAUUGCAUUCGAUACUGGAUCGCUAGAGUUCGGCAGAGGGAAGUGGAAUUUCUGGUGUAGCGGUGAAAUGCGUAGAUAUCAGAAGGAACAUCAGUGGCGAAAGCGACUUCCUGGACCAGAGCUGACGAUCAGGCACGAAAGCGUGGGGAGCAAACAGG
rnacentral:rRNA from 1 species